rnacentral:misc_RNA from 1 species
AACGCAACUUGGGCCCCUUGGUAUUCCAUGGGGCAUGCCUGUUUGAGUGUCGUUGACUUCCUCAACCAAAAUUGGUGUUAAAAUCCCACUUUUUCGUUGGACCGUGGAGUGUGCCAGUUCCUCCGAACCUGGCUCCCCUCAAACUCAAUCACGAAGCACCCGACGCGGUCUUUGACCGAAAGGGUUCGUCGGCAUUGAUAACUCGUUACAUGCCCGCAACCCGCCAACGUCGAGUCUUUUGAUCUCUAAAAUAUAUAUAUAUCUCAUCACACCUCAAAUCAGGCAGGACUACCCGCUGAACUUAA